AGGGGAUACUGCCAGCAAGUCUCUAAAACUAGCAAAAGCGAUCAUGAAAGUGCUCUUAAUAAAGGCUCUUUCAUUGUUGGGGCACUUACAGCUACAAUGUCCUAUAUGAUGUGGGCAAAAUGGCAACAGCGUAAAAUUGAGAAGAUCGUUGAUAUCCUAAAUGCAGAGGAGCGCAUGGCUAUUUUUCGUACGCUAAACAAGCAGAAAUGAUUGGUUCGGCCCGUAAUUUAAUGUAUGAUGGUAGCCUUGUGAUGUUGGCGUUUAUCUCGUGCGGAAGUAUUUCCUACUUGUG